UCCACCUUCAGAGACAAUGCAGCUAGGGCUGAACCCAUUUGUUGCUUUCCUCAGCUCAGUCAGAUCAAACUCUUUGAAAUUUUGGUUCUCCUGCUCCACUUGGUCCCCAUUCACUGUUUAAACACAUAGACCAAAAAGGCAAUUAGUCUAAACAAGAGUUUAGUUCCAAAAAGAUUUAGCAGGGAGCAAAAGGAAAUGUGAGUACUUGGAAGCUGAGAGAUGAUGAGUACCUGACUCUGGUUUGGUUGGAGCUGAUGGAUCAUCAGAAGAAGGUAGAUUAGCUGUUUUGGAAUGUAAGCAACCCAUCUUUCUCUCUUUCUUUAGUUUUGUCUCACUUCAAAAAGCUUUGAACAAUUUGUUUUCCCACAAAGAUGAGAACUUUGGAUGUGAAUCACAGACUGAAAGAUAAAAGCUUUAAGCUGAGAGGUUUUUUUUUCUGACUGGUUUAUUGGAUUGAGAUAACAACAAUGGUGGGAUUUGAUUUGGGUUUGGAUUUGUGAUAUGUAAGCAGUUGAGGAGGCAGUAGAAUAUAAAUUUCCCUGCACACUACUAAUAAAGAAAAUAAUAAAAUUUGAAAAUUAAAUAGAAAAAGGAAGUUGCUAGAGAGAGAGAGAGAGAGUGAAAAGAUCUGAAAGUUAGCUUCAAAAGCUGCAGAGUUGAAAAAACAGAGGUGACAAAAAAGGUCAUGUGAAGAAAAAUAUCUAAUUUUUUCUGCUCAAUAAGAUUUUGCUUGCAUAUGCUUUUCCCUCGGUACUAUACAAAAAAAAUAAAAACUGGGUUUAGUUGUAUUUUGUGUAAUUUAAUGUGAAUUACCGAAGUUUAUACAAACUAUAUAUAACAUAAAAAACAUACGAAUUAUUUGAUAAACAAAAAAAAUACCAGGUUUAGUUGGGAGUUGGGACAAAAUAAAAGCGCGAUUACAUUACCAAAAAAAAAAUGUAGGUAUUUUUUUCUUAUUUAGUGGUGCACCUAAUACAAGCGGUUACAUUACAUGUUCCCGUAAAUAAUGCAAACAGUAGCUACAUGCAUAAUAAUUUUUCUGCCUAACAAUGGCGAAAUUAUAGCAGUGUGUUUGGUUUUUAACUUUUUAUUGAUCCAUAAGAUAAAGUUGUAAAGAUUAUUAGACCAAAAAAAGUUGUAAAGAUGAUUUGGUUUGUGUCACUCUUGCUACCUUUUAUUUUCGCAAUUUUUUUUUGUUGUUGAUUGCUUACUUUUUUAUGAGUCUAUGUAGAAAGAGAAUAGGUUACAUUACAUCACAUGACAUGUCUGUCAUGGGGCACGUGCCACUAGCUUCUUGGGUUUUGAAGUUUACCGAAGAUAGAAUGUAAUUAUUUCGAUUCACUCUACUUGUUUUCUUAUACUCCAUAUAUCGUAGAGAUGUUAUUUUAUUUUAGUAUAAUACAAUUUGAAAUUUGUCAAAUAAAUAAGUACAGUUAUAAAAUGAUUCUUUUCACACAAAAAGUCUUCGGCAUUACUCGAAAGUACUCUUAAACAAACCCCAUUCACCGACAAAUUAAUAACAAUAUCUGGUUUCGAAUAAAUACGAGUUUUAUUAUAAACAGAUCUCUAAAUGAUACUUACAUGUCUGAAUCUUAAUGUUCAGAAUAGUUUAUCACGCUAACGUGGACCCUGAACAAAAAAAGAAUCUUGGACCGAAGCAUACACUAAUCAUAUGGGAAUUUCUCCAACAAGGCAAGGACAAAAUAAUAAUGCAACCCAAGACUUCCUCUAUUUUAGUUUUUAUCUUAUAACGUUUGUUCGUGACAAAAAAAAAUCUUAUAACGUUUGAAGUUUUUUAUAUAUAUUAUUUACUGGAUGCAAUGCAAAUACAUUAUGAAUUCAUGUAUUUUUCGGAACAAAAGAAUCGUAUAGUACAUUUUGAACUACUAAUGUAAUAUUCUAAGCUGAGCCCCCAAAUUUUCACCCUCCUUUUUCACUUUCUUGCCGUAAACAUCAACUACAACUUCAAAACCUGAUCAUUACGGGGAAAUUUAGAAAAUUGUAAAUAUAUGGUCUAAACUGUAUAACUUAUAAUUCUAGGCAAGUGCAGUGGUGGUUUUUGCAUAGUGUCCAAAUUUUUUUACAACUUUUAAAGAGUUUAAAGCAUUUUUCAAAAUUUAGGGCUCUUUUUGGAAAAAAACAUUUGUUUGUUCCUAAAUUAUCCUAAAUUAUUAGAACUUGCAUCUUAGUAAAGUAAUGAGACUGCCCAGAUAAAAUAAAAGAAGAAAACUAAAAAGCCAAGAUCAAAGGCGUGGUGCAAACAAAAUAGCCAAUAUGUGCUUCUUAAGCAUAUAUGCAGCCCAACUUGCGAGCUAGGACGUCAAGAGAAGAACAAUAAGCUCUGAAUCAACACAUCACCUUGAGAGC